rnacentral:lncRNA from 1 species
UAGAUAAUGAGAUCAAGAGAACAAGACAGACAGAAGAGAAACAGCCCGAUGUACAUACGGCAUUUAACAUACACUAAAAGUCAAUUCAAAAAGAUGGAAGACGGACAAACCAUUUAAUAAACGAUAGUGUGACAUUGACCAUCCAACUGGAAACACAUAAAAUUAGAUUUCUAACUUGGGAUACCAAAAAAAAAAAAAAUCGUAGAAGAAUUUAAAGACUAAAAAUGAACACAAAAUUAUAAAAGUUUUAGAUGCAACUAUAAAAUAGUUUGAUAAUUUGAGGCAGAUGAGAGCCACCUAAGGAGAUAUAAAACACAGAAGCCAUGACGGGAGUUACUAAAAAAUGUAAUUGCUUAAAUAUUUGUUAUAAUUGCUUGAAGAAAGGCAUCAUUAGCAAAACUAAAACACAAGCAAAGGAUUAGAAGAAAAUGUCUGCAGUAUGUCUAACAUCCCAGAGCUUCCUAGCCAGAGUAGAAGAUUCUGCUACUCUAAGACAUACAAUAAAAAGAACUCAAUUUUCAAAAAUAGGCUAAUACAAAUGGCCGACAAAAACAUGAUAAGAUGUUCAUCCUCAGUAGUAAUAAAUGGAAUGGGAAUUGAAAAAGCAUCAUGAGCUUCCCCCCGGGUUGUAAAACUUGAGUAGAAUAAGGACAUUCAGUACUGGUGAGGGUGUGAAGAAAUGGGUAGGCUCAUACGCUCCGGCAGAAAGUAGAAUUGGCUAUUAAUAAGGUCAGCUUCGUUGAAUUGGCAGCACUUGCUGAAAAUGUUAAAUGUCAUGGCCUUUGGCUGAAUAAUUUCACUUCUACGGAUCUAUCCUAUAGAAAUACGCAUGGACAAGGAUGUUUGCAUAAGGAUAGUUAUUGCAGUAUCUUUUGUAAAAGAAUUUUUUUAAACAACCAACAUAUUUAUAAAUAGGAGGAAAAUUAUACUGUGGUACAUCUUUACUAUGGUAUAGUUUAUAGCUAAUAGAAAGGGUAAGGGAUGUGAAAUGACAUUUUAUUGUUUUUAUCAGUUCCUGUCCUGUAUAAUUUUGUAGGGGCUUAAAAUAAUUUAAAAUGGAUUGAGCAAUUUUUUUAAAAGAGGGCCUUUUAAAUAAAAGGAAGCACAGAGGGAGCAACUGAGUGCAACUCUUCAUUAACGUCAGGUCUCUUCCAACGCGGUGCCAUUUAGUUUCUCUCUUUCUGAUGAACAACCAGCAGGGGCUUGUAGGAAAGAGCUGCUGAGUGACUCUGGACUCUCCUGGUGUCUGAGGUCCCAGGGAGUCUAAAUUGGCAUGCUGAUCUGCAUUCAACUGUUAAGAAUUUGUUAAAAUUUUAGACGUUUUCAUCUAGUGACUGCUUUUAUGGCAGCCACCUACCUACUCCUCCCCAUUCCUGCAAGAGGUGGAACAGAUUGUGUGUUCCCUCUCUCCGUGGAAUAAAGGUUUGCAAUUCUGCUCACCUGGUUGCCUUCAGAUCUUCACACAAGCCUAUGAGGCAAGUCACAAAGUCCUCACCUCCAGUCUCAGGAGUUUAAGAAGGGCAGCUUCAUGGCCUCCCCAGCUCAUAGGUCAGGCGGGCCCUGUUGGAGAGCUAUCAUUUGUAGUGAUUUCAACAGCUCAUUUUCACCAGUAGAGUGAGGAGUCAGACUCACAGACAUGGGAGUCAGACAAAACGUGGACUCUGACUUGCUAUGAAUUUGACUUUGAGCAUCCUCGUCUGUAAAAGAGGGACCAUACUAGCAGUACAGACUACCUCACAGGCUUUUUGUUAGGAUCAACAAGAAAUCCAUGUUAAGAGUUUAACCCUCUGCUUGGAACACUGUAAGUUCCUAAUUAAUAAUUAUUACUUUUCAGAAACUGAUGGUAGAAUACAAAAUCUAAUAGGACACAGCCCCAGAGCUCAUAGAACAGGGCGGGAGAAGGAAGCAUAACCAGAUUCACAGCUAAACUGUACAUUUUGUUGUAAGUGCUAUGAUGGAAGUAUUCAGACCAGAGAAGUGCUUAGCUCAGCUGGGAGGAGGUGAGGUCUGAGCUGUCUUGUAGGAUGAGUUAGGCCAGGGGCUGGGGUGUGGUGAGAGGGCAGGCAGGAGGUAAAAUGGAGGAGGGGACCGUUCGGGGUAGAGGAAGCAGCAGGAGCAGUGGACCCACAUGGUGGCUGGGUAGGUGGGCAAUGGAGUGUACUCUCGGCAUGGAGGGCAGUUCAGGGAGAGGCUACCAGGAGAGGAAGCUGGAGAGCCUUUGAAGGGUUGAAAUUGGGUUAGAUUUUUUAGAUUUUCAUUUGAAAUCAGAUCGAAUUGCUGGGGGAAGAAUGGAUUGAGGUGCCAGGAGAAGGGGCGGGGAGACCAAUAAGGAGGCUGUGGCCGCAUCCUGAUGAGAGAAGGUGAUGCCCAAGCCGGAGCAGUGAGGCGAGGGAUGAUGCCAAAGAGGGGGUGACUUGAUGCAUAGUCAGCAGGUAGACCGGGCAGGACCCGUGGAGUGAGGAGGAGGAGGUGUAGACUGAACCCCAGGCUCCAACACAGAGUGAGAGCAAAGUUGUCAACUUCAUGGAGCCAGAAUGAAAAGGGAUCUCUGCGGUGGGGCAGCCCAGGCAGAUUUAGUCAGCCCUGUGUGAGCUCCCAGAAUUCUUUGCUCAGAAUGUGACACAUCACAUUACAGUGGUUUAAAUGCUUGUCUCCUGGCUGGUGUCCACUCCUCAAAAGUAGCGAUGAUGUCUUAACCUUCACAUCU